rnacentral:rRNA from 1 species
UACGUAGGGUGCAAGCGUUAAUCGGAAUUACUGGGCGUAAAGCGUGCGCAGGCGGUGAUGUAAGACAGUUGUGAAAUCCCGGCUCCAACCUGGGAACUGCAUCUGUGACUGCAUCGCUGGAGUGCGGCAGAGGGGAUGGAAUUCCGCGUGUAGCAGUGAAUGCGUAGAUAUGCGGAGGAACACCGAUGGCGAAGGCAACUCCCUGGCCUGCACUGACGCUCAUGCACGAAAGCGUGGGAGCAAACAGG